CCGGGUUCCAAGACCCCUGCGUAGACUCUGUCUAUAGGUGGAAGAAGGCCUUUGCCCCGAGGCAUCCAGAGGUAACGGCGUUUCGGCCUAGCUGCCGCCGGUCCAAUCCGCAGCGCUUCCGUGCCCCACUUUCCCGCGUCAGCCUGGCUCCGGCCUCCACCAGGGGGUGCUAGUGAGAUCCCAGCCAGCCUCAGAGCUGAGCGUCCAGGGCCUUCAAAUGUCCCCAUCCUUGAAAAGGCAACUCCAGUGGCAUCUUCUGCGGGGAGACCAGAAGCAGCAUCUGACGAGGAGACAGCACUGGCGGUCCCGACACAACUGAAUCGGCAGGAUGAGGGCCCUUAGUGUUAGGCACCGGCGGAGCUGCAUCCCACCCCGUCUCGUCCCCUGAGAACAGCUGUGAGAAGCCGCCUAUUUUUCAUCGUUCUGCAACACACCUUUCCCUUCCUUGGGAUAUUUCUCCUCUUUCAGCAUUGCCGCAUCAGGGUUCCAAAGCCCCGUUUCUCUCCUAGUUCUUUCUUUGCUCAAGAAAAGCAGCUUGUCUGAUAAACUAAGCUAUGUAUGAUUCGCUGCCAGUACAGACUGAAAAACAAAAUAAACUCCCAAUUCACAGUCCUCCGUUGCGUAACAGUGAGCAGACGUUCUGAGAAAUGCAUCGUCAGGCAAUUGCAUCAUUGUGCAAACAAUAUAGAGUGUACUUACCCAAACCUAAACAGCACAGCCUACUACACACCCAGGCUGUAGGCUGUGCUUCUAGACUACAAACCUGUACAGUGUGGUACUGAACACUGUAGGCAACUGUAACACAAUGGUGUACCUAAUUCCUCUGCCUAGAAAGUGUGCUGGAAUUACUGCCUGGCUUCUGAUGAAUAGGGCGUAUUGAGAGUGAUGCUUUGUGAGUUCUGAGGCUAGGUCAUAGAAAGGAUUGAACUUAUUCCUGAAUGUUGCUCUUGGAUCACUUGCUUUUUUGGGAACCACCAGCCAUGUCAUGAGGACACUCAAGCAACCCUGCAGAGAAGCACAUGUGUGGAGAGGCACUUCUUGGAAAGGAGGCCAACUUGCCAGAACCAACUAAUUUGUCAUGUGAGUGAGUCAUUUUGGAAGCAGAUCCUCUACCCUCAGUCAGGCCUUCCGAUGAUUUCAGCCCCCAGCCUUUGAGUCUGCCCCAAACACCAUGAGUAGAGACAAGCCCUUCCCACUGUGUCCACCCUGGCUGAAUUCCAGACCGUUAAAAAAACAAGAGAAAAUAAAUUAUUAUUAGUGUUUUGAGUCA
rnacentral:lncRNA from 1 species